UACGAAGGGGGGCUAGCGUUGUUCGGAAUUACUGGGCGUAAAGCGCACGUAGGCGGGUUGUUAAGUCAGGGGGUGAAAAUCCCGGAGCUCAACUCCGGAACUGCCUUUGAUACUGGCAAUCUAGAGACUGGAAGAGGUUAGUGGAAUUCCCAGUGUAGAGGUGAGAUUCGUAGAUAUUGGGAAGAACACCAGUGGCGAAGGCGGCUAACUGGUCCAGUACUGACGCUGAGGUGCGAAAGCGUGGGGAGCAAACAGG
rnacentral:rRNA from 1 species